rnacentral:tRNA from 1 species
GGCGGGAUGGCUCAGUGGUUAGAGCGCGAACUUACUGACCGGAAGGUCUGUGGUUCAAACCCACCCCCGCCU